GAAAUGGACGAUAUCACUGACAUUUUACUGAGUCAUAUUUUCUGAUACACGAAUUAUGUUGUUGGGUCGGAUUGCAUUUACUGCCUAUAAUUACUAAUUUUGUAAUAUACUUUCAUCGUCACCAUAUUUUAGUUAAAUAAAAUUAAAAUGGCUGCUACCAGGAGACUUCAAAAGGAGUUAAACGACAUCAGGCAAUCUGGAUUGAAGUCAUUUAGAGACAUUCAAGUUGAUGAGUCUAAUAUUCUUACAUGGCAGGGCUUGAUCGUACCCGACAAUCCCCCCUACAACAAAGGUGCCUUUCGUAUCGAGAUUAAUUUCCCAGCAGAAUACCCAUUCAAACCCCCCAAGAUUAGUUUCAAAACAAAAAUCUAUCAUCCCAACAUUGAUGAAAAGGGUCAAGUCUGUCUACCUAUAAUUAGUGCUGAAAAUUGGAAACCAGCUACAAAGACUGAUCAAGUUAUCCAAGCUCUAGUAGCACUUGUAAAUGAUCCAGAGCCGGAGCAUCCAUUACGAGCUGAGCUCGCAGAAGAAUUCCUAAAAGACAGGAAAAAAUUCACAAAGAAUGCAGAAGAAUUCACCAAGAAACAUAGUGAAAAACGGCCCACUGACUAAAGUCGCCUAGUUCAAAUUUCUUUGACUUUACAAUGGUAAAUGGCAUUUUAAAUAUGAAACAAGUAUUUUAACUAAUGUGUGCAUUUAUCCUAUAAAAGUAAAUCUAUCCUCUUUUCACUUGUUUAGAAAGAAUUCAUUCACUACUGUAAAGUUAAAGGUUUUUCUGUAAGGCUAGGUAAUGUUACUCCUCAAUCACUGCUUGCAAGACAUGCACCAUACUGUCAUUUUGUAUUACCUUACAACGCAAUAUUCCAUUCAGUUUCUCUGACAAUAAGCCAUUUACGUAACCACUAAAACAUGAAGUAGCUCCGCUAAAUUAGCAAUUAAAAUCAUAGAUGUUGUUAGUGUGACUGUUCAUUGAAUUUCUUAAGUUAUAAUCUUGUAUUGAACAUUUAAUGAGAGAACUCUAAAUACAUCUUUUCCACUUAUCAA